UGCCCGCCCCUCCCCCGGAGCCUGCCAGCAAGGACCCGAAACGUGCGCGGUGUGCCGCGGGUGUUUAUUCACCCUGGCAAAGGGUGGCCGGGGAGCCACGGGAGCUUAUCCAGCCGGCGAGGCAAUAAAGAUUUCCUUGAUGAAAUACACACCUGAAUAGCAACAAUUAUCAAAUAAUCUCAGUAGACAAGACUAAUCAGGCCUGCCCACUGAAAGCCAGAGACUGCCUGCAACAGAAGAAGAUAAACACACUCUUACCUACAAAACUGUUGGUAAAUCAAGAAGGCAGAAGUAAAACCAGUGAGUUUUACUCACUUACUUUAGUCAGCUAAAAAGCAGACUGAAUCAGGACAAUGAGACAUCUUGAAAUGUUAGUUCUGAUACUUGUGGAUGAAAUUAAUCUAUCAGCAUUCCUACUACAAAAUAGACUUGUGUAAAGGCUAUUGUAUUACACCCAGUUUCCAACAAAGCUGUGAGCUUUGAACUAACCAUAUAUUGAUACUACUAAUUGAUAGUACAGUAUCAAUUUUACACUCAGAUAUGAGGAAUCAGCCUUCAGCACAUUCAUCUGUAUCUGGAAUAUUUUCUUUUUGUCAUAAAUUAUAUGAAACUUCUCAUAUUUUGGUUUGUACCUAUUGCCUCUUGUCCCUCACUGGACAUCACAAUGAGUCUGUCUUCAUCUUUACUCCUCCUACCAGACAUCAAUUCAAUCCUCCACCUUGAGCCUCUUCUUCUCAAGGUUAAAUAGUCACAGUUUUCUCAUCCUGUCCUCUUUCUCCUUUCAUCUGUGAAUGCACAAAUGCCUCUUCCCUGGCUUGCUUCUCAUCAAAAGUACUUCAUUCCCUCAAACCUCAAAACCCCAUUACUCAGAGAUUGUGCUCUUAGUGUAUUUUUCUUCCAUCCUGCUGUUGUGGGUUGACCACAUCCAGCAGGUAAGCACCCACACAGCUGUUAGCUCACUUCCCCCUGCCUCCUUCCCUAGUGGGGCAGGGGAGAGAAAAGGAGAAAAAGAAAGAAAACCAGUAGGUAAACAUAAAGAUGGUUUAUUAAGUAAAGAAAAAGUGAGAAUUAUAAAAUGUAAUAAGUAAGGAUUAAAAAAAAUAUGGUGAGGGAACCACUCACCAAAGCCCACAAGUAGACCAUCAGUCUCUGAUAAACAGCUUUGACUACACUCCUUUCCUCUACCCAGUUUUAUUGGUGGGCAUGAUGUUAUGGAUUAUAUGGGGUCAGCUGUCCCAGCUCUGCCCUCUCCCAAAUUCAUGCCUACUUGCUGGUAUGGGAAUGCAGGCAGAAAGGGAAAGAGAGAUAUCCCCGAUCCUGUGCAAGCAUUGCUGAGCAAUAGCCCAAACAUUGGCAUGUUUUCAACACUCUUUUAGUCACAAACACAAAACACAGCACAAUUUCACUGCUAUGUAGAUAAUCAACUUAAUUCUGGGCCAGAUCCAGUACACCUGUGAAAACAUCCUUGGAACAAAAGACUCCCUGCUCUGGAAUUUCACACUCAUGAUUAUGAUGACCUCUCUCAGCUAUACUGCUUCAGACUUGCUCCUUAUCUGCAUCCCCAACUCAUUUCUUACCAUCUUCUAAAAGAAAAGAAAGCAGCACAAUACAACAUGAAACAAAUGGGAGAGAAAAAAAAAUGCACAAAAGCUGGCAACAGUAAGUGCAUAACUGAAGAACUAAAUAGUUCAAGAACUUAGAAGAAAAAAAAGGCAAAUAGAUAUACCCUGUGGAAAUGAAGAAGGUGAAGAUAAUCAGAGAAUGAUCUUUCAAACACUAAUACUGCUUUGCAAUUAGGUGUGAAAAAACAGAAUUGUGUAAAAGAAUGUGGAAGAGCAGAAAUGUUUCUACUGCAUAUUUGGAAAACAUAAACAGUAACAGUGUUUUCACAUCACGUAAAAUGAAAUACUUUCCAUUAAAUCAAUAAUAUGAGCUGACAGUAAACUGUGUGAACUAAAAUUAAACACUUAUUUUUAAAUGGCA